rnacentral:snRNA from 1 species
UUCUAUCGGGUAAAGCCAA